UACAGAGGGUGCAAGCGUUGUUCGGAAUUAUUGGGCGUAAAGCGCGUGUAGGCGGCUUUGCAAGUCGGGUGUGAAAGCCCUCAGCUUAACUGAGGAAGUGCGCCCGAAACUGCAGAGCUUGAGUACCGGAGAGGAUGGCGGAAUUCCCCAAGUAGAGGUGAAAUUCGUAGAUAUGGGGAGGAACACCGGUGGCGAAGGCGGUUGCCUGGGGCUUUGCUGACGCUGAUGCGCGAAAGCGUGGGGAGCGAUCCGG
rnacentral:rRNA from 1 species